rnacentral:rRNA from 1 species
UACAGAGGUCUCGAGCGUUAGGCGGAAUCACUGGGCUUAAAGCGUGUGUAGGUGGAUCGUUAAGUACCUUGUGAAAUCCCACGGCUUAACCGUGGAACUGCUUGGUAUACUGGCGGUCUUGAGCCAGCUAGGGGCUACCGGAACAAAUGGUGGAGCGGUGAAAUGCGUAGAUAUCAGGAGGAACACCGGUGGCGAAGGCGGGUCUCUGGGCCGAUACUGACGCUGAGGAGCGAAAGCGUGGGGAGCGAACAGG